AACUGGUGGUGGCACUUCCCGACAUAGCGGGUGGUGUGAGUGUGUGCGUUUAUAAAACACUUAUGAAAACCCGCUCAUUGAGCGGGUUUUUUUAU
rfam:Idiomarina planktonica strain CGMCC 1.12458 genome assembly, contig: Ga0171582_11